UGGGGAAUAUUGGACAAUGGGGGCAACCCUGAUCCAGCCAUGCCGCGUGAGUGACGAAGGCCUUAGGGUUGUAAAGCUCUUUCACCCGUGAAGAUGAUGACGGUAGCGGGAGAAGAAGCGCCGGCUAACUCCGUGCCAGCAGCCGCGGUAAGACGGAGGGCGCUAGCGUUGUUCGGAAUCACUGGGCGUAAAGGGCGCGUAGGCGGCUGCUUAAGUCGGGGGUGAAAGCCCGGGGCUCAACCUCGGAACUGCCUUCGAGACUGGGCGGCUAGAGACCGGAAGAGGAGGGUGGAAUACCCAGUGUAGAGGUGAAAUUCGUAGAUAUUGGGUGGAACACCAGUGGCGAAAGCGGCUCUCUGGUCCGGUUCUGACGCUGAGGCGCGAAAGCGUGGGGAGCAAACAGGAUUAGAUACCCCCGUAGUCC
rnacentral:rRNA from 1 species